AGUGAACGCUGGCGGUAGGCCUAACACAUGCAAGUCGAACGGCAGCACAGUAAGAGCUUGCUCUUACGGGUGGCGAGUGGCGGACGAGUGAGGAAUACAUCGGAAUCUACUUUUUCGUGGGGGAUAACGUAGGGAAACUUACGCUAAUACCGCAUACGACCUACGGGUGAAAGCAGGGGAUCUUCGGACCUUGCACGAUUGAAUGAGCCGAUGUCGGAUUAGCUAGUUGGCGGGGUAAAGGCCCACCAAGGCGACGAUCCGUAGCUGGUCUGAGAGGAUGAUCAGCCAAACUGGAACUGAGACACGGUCCAGACUCCUACGGGAGGCAGCAGUGGGGAAUAUUGGACAAUGGGCGCAAGCCUGAUCCAGCCAUACCGCGUGGGUGAAGAAGGCCUUCGGGUUGUAAAGCCCUUUUGUUGGGAAAGAAAAGCAGCAGGUUAAUACCCCGCUGUUCUGACGGUACCCAAAGAAUAAGCACCGGCUAACUUCGU
rnacentral:rRNA from 1 species